rnacentral:pre_miRNA from 1 species
CUACUACUCCCUCCGUUCGGAAUUACUUGUCGCAGAAAUGGAUGUACCUAGAUGUAUUUUAGUUCUAAAUACAUCCAUUUCCGAGACAAGUAAUUCCGAACGGAGGGAGUACAUG